AGGGUUGUAGUUAAUUAUAACAUUUGAAUUGCACUCAAAAAGUACUAACUAAUAGUCUUCCUUA
rnacentral:tRNA from 1 species